CUGUGAACUCCUUAUCUCUGAAUACCAGUGCCUACAGUGUGCCUGGAACAUAGGAGAGGCUUAAUAAUUGUUUGUUUUUAAUGAUAUGUAGAUCGAUUGCUUAUUGGUUUUCUCCAGAAGAUGACCAGCAGUUCCACACUGAUGCCCAUGUCUUGUUUUUCAGCAGACUUUGACUUCUGGGUAUUGGAUGGUGGGCACAGCCAAUUUAUGUCUUGAAUGGAAUAAUGAGGGAGUUAAGAUUCAUUUUCUGUGAGCCACCUCUGAACAUCACCCCUGUGAAGUCCUUUGGUGCCAUUUUGCUGAUGGAAGAAGCUUAAGGUGAAUGACUUCUGAACCUUCAUCACUGAGGAUAACAUGAAGCUAGUCACUUGCCAUCUCGCCACACCUGAGCAUGCCAAACUGCGUUUCAUGGAGGGAAUUCCAGAAAGACAUGUUGCCGACCCAAAGAAGGAAUUGCUCCUUGGCCCUAUGAUUUAUGCAGGAGCAGAGGCAGCACGCAAUCGAGCUGUCAAGAGAGCGUCAGCUUAUUAGGCAAAUGCUGCGUGGUUUCUGAAGAGGGUCGACGCUAUAAAAUCCCACUCCAGGCUCUGGUGUGGAGAAACUCAGAGCCCAAGUCCGUUGAGAGACUGAAGAGAAAGAUAAGAGGUGAAGAAAAGAGAGUGAGGACAGAAAGGAGAGGGAAGAAAACCCCUGAAAAAGCCCGGAGACGUUCCUCUGCAGAGAGGCGGCAGCGCCCCACUCACCUGCAGAAGCACCUCAGAAGGUAGGGAGUGCCUAGACGGAACCGCGCCUCCAACUUUGCAUUGCCUGAGCUGCCACGGUGUGCGCGGCAGAGCCGGGUGUCCCUGUGAGGGCAUGUGUGUGAGUGUGAGUGUGUGUGCGUGCCUGUGUGUGUGCUGACUGUGCCUCAAGAUUCCGGUAGUAGCCGGCAUGUGUCAAAAGCAAACUUAGACGGCUGCUAAUCAUUCUUGGAACUGCCAGUUACUCCUCGCUGGCAUUGUAGACCAGUCCCCGCCAUCGAUCCCGACCCCUGA
ensembl:lncRNA